rnacentral:ncRNA from 1 species
CACUCUGGAGAAGCCCACAUCCGCUGUGGGGGCCGAAGGGGCAACGCGCCGCGACACAAAGCAGCGCCAAUCUCUCAGGCAAAAGGACAGGGUCGGA